UACGGAGGGGGCUAGCGUUGUUCGGAAUUACUGGGCGUAAAGCGCACGUAGGCGGCUUUGUAAGUUAGAGGUGAAAGCCCGGAGCUCAACUCCGGAAUUGCCUUUAAGACUGCAUCGCUAGAAUUGUGGAGAGGUGAGUGGAAUUCCGAGUGUAAAGGUGAAAUUCGUAGAUAUUCGGAAGAACACCAGUGGCGAAGGCGACUCACUGGACACAUAUUGACGCUGAGGUGCGAAAGCGUGGGGAGCAAACAGG
rnacentral:rRNA from 1 species